rnacentral:rRNA from 1 species
AUGAACGCUGGCGGCGUGCCUAAUACAUGCAAGUCGAGCGAACGGACGAGAAGCUUGCUUUUCUGAUGUUAGCGGCGGACGGGUGAGUAACACGUGGAUAACCUACCUAUAAGACUGGGAUAACUUCGGGAAACCGGAGCUAAUACCGGAUAAUAUUUUGAACCGCAUGGUUCAAAAGUGAAAGACGGUCUUGCUGUCACUUAUAGAUGGAUCCGCGCUGCAUUAGCUAGUUGGUAAGGUAACGGCUUACCGAGGCAACGAUGCAUAGCCGACCUGAGAGGGUGAUCGGCCACACUGGAACUGAGACACGGUCCAGACUCCUACGGGAGGCAGCAGUAGGGAAUCUUCCGCAAUGGGCGAAAGCCUGACGGAGCAACGCCGCGUGAGUGAUGAAGGUCUUCGGAUCGUAAAACUCUGUUAUUAGGGAAGAACAUAUGUGUAAGUAACUGUGCACAUCUUGACGGUACCUAAUCAGAAAGCCACGGCUAACUACGUG